ACGCACGGUCUUACCACCCUGAACGUCCCCGAUCUCCUCUGAUCUCGGAACCUAAGCACGGUCGGGCCUGGUUAGUACCUGGACUGGAGACCACCUGGGGGUAUCGGUUGCUGUAGGCU
rnacentral:rRNA from 1 species